rnacentral:rRNA from 1 species
GACGAACGCUGGCGGCGUGCUUAACACAUGCAAGUCGAACGGAAAGGCCCAGCUUUUGUGGGGUGCUCGAGUGGCGAACGGGUGAGUAACACGUUAGUAACCUGCCCUUUACUUUGGUAUAACUUCAGGAAACUUGUGCUAAUACCGGAUAGGAGCUCCUGCUGCAUGGUGGGGGUUGGAAAGUUUCGGCUGUUGGGGAUGGACUCGCGGCUUAUCAGCUUGUUGGUGGGGUAGUGGCUUACCAAGGCUUUGACGGGUAGCCGGCCUGAGAGGGUGACCGGCAACAUUGGGACUGAGAUACGGCACAGACUCCAACGGGAGGCAGCAGUGGGGAAUAUUGCACAAUGGGCGGAAGCCUGAUGCAGCAACGCCGCGUGCGGGAUGACGGCCUUCGGGUUGUAAACCGCUUUCGCAUGUGACGAAGCGUGAGUGACGGUAAUGGGUAAAGAAGCACCGGCUAACUACGUG